rnacentral:rRNA from 1 species
AGGGAAUGACGGGGGCCCGCACAAGCGGUGGGAGCAUGUGGUUAAUUCGUCAUAACCGAAGAACCUUACCAGGGCUUGACAUCUAGGGAAUCCUGAUGAAAGUCGGGAGUGCUUCGAAAGAAGAGCCCUAAGACAGGUGUUGCAUGGCUGUCGUCAGCUCGUGUCGUGAGAUGUUGGGUUAAGUCCCGCAACGAGCGCAACCCUCAUCCGAUGUUGCCAGCGUAAAGUCGGGAACUCUUCGGAAACUGCCCGUGUAAGCGGGAGGAAGGUGGGGAUGACGUCAAGUCAGCAUGGCCUUUACGCCCUGGGCUACACACAUGCUACAAUGGACGUUAACAGAGGGACGCAAUACCGCGAGGUGGAGCCAAUCCAAAAAUACGUCCUCAGUUCGGAUUGCAGUCUGCAACUCGACUGCAUGAAGUCGGAAUCGCUAGUAACCGCAGGUCAGCUAAACUGCGGUGAAUACGUUCCCGGGCCUUGUACACACCGCCCGUCACGUCACCUGAAUUGUCUGCACCCGAAGUCGAUGGCCCAACCGCAAGGAGGGAGUCGCCGAAGGUGUGGGGAGUGAGGGGGACGAAGUCGUAACAAGGAUGAGCCG